GACGGAGGGGCUAGCGUUGUUCGGAUUUACUGGGCGUAAAGAGCGCGUAGGCGGUUUAAUAAGUUGGAAGUGAAAGCCCGGGGCUUAACCUCGGAACUGCUUUCAAAACUGUUAGACUAGAGUAUAGUAGGGGAUGAUGGAAUUCCUAGUGUAGAGGUGAAAUUCUUAGAUAUUAGGAGGAACACCGGUGGCGAAGGCGAAUCAUCUGGGCUAUUACUGACGCUAAUGGUGCGAAAGCGUGGGGAGCAAACAGG
rnacentral:rRNA from 1 species